UGAGCAAUCUGCCCUUCUCAUCGGAAUAAGCGUUGGAAACGACGUCUAAUGCCGAAUACGACCUCCUUUCGCAUGAUCGGAGGUGGAAAGCUCCGGCGGAGAAGGAUGAGCUCGCGGCCUAUCAGCUAGUUGGUGUGGGUAACGCCCACCAAGGCGACGACGGGUAGCCGGCCUGAGAGGGUGACCGGCCACACUGGGACUGAGACACGGCCCAGACCUCCGUACGGGGAGGNAGG
rnacentral:rRNA from 1 species